rnacentral:rRNA from 1 species
CACCGGCGGCUCGAGUGGUGGCCACUUUUAUUGGGUCUAAAGCGUCCGUAGCCGGCUUGGCAAGUCCCCUGGGAAAUCUGGCGGCUUAACCGUCAGGCGUCCAGUGGAUACUGCCAGGCUUGGGACCGGGAGAGGUGAGAGGUACCUCAGGGGUAGGGGUGAAAUCGUGUGAUCCCUGAGGGACCACCAGUGGCGAAGGCGUCUCACUAGAACGGGUCCGACGGUCAGGGACGAAAGCUGGGGGCACGAACCGG